rnacentral:rRNA from 1 species
GUUGAAUAGCAAUAUUUGACCUAGAGUGACGUACGGGUGCGUAACACGUAUGCAACCUACCCUUUACAGGAGGAUAGCUCGGGGAAACUCGAAUUAACCCUCCAUGAGAUCAUAGAAUGGCAUCAUUUAGUGAUUAAAACUCAGGUGGUAAAGGCUGGGCAUGCGUCUGAUUAGUUAGUUGGCGGGGUAACGGCCACCAAGACGAUGAUCAGUAGGGGAACUGAGAGGUUGAUCCCCCACACUGGCACUGAGAUACGGGCCAGACUCCUACGGGAGGCAGCAGUAGGGAAUAUUGGUCAAUGGAUGCAAGUCUGAACCAGCCAUGCCGCGUGCAGGAAGAAGGCCUUCUGGGUUGUAAACUGCUUUUGCCAGGGGAUAAAAAUACCUUGCGAGGUAAAUUGAAGGUACCUGGUGAAUAAGCCACGGCUAACUACGUGCCAGCAGCCGCGGUAAUACGUAGGUGGCAAGCGUUGUCCGGAUUUAUUGGGUUUAAAGGGUGCGUAGGCGGCUUUGUAAGUCAGUGGUGAAAUAUGUCAGCUUAACUGAGAGGGUGCCAUUGAUACUGCAGAGCUUGAGUACAGAUGAGGUAGGCGGAAUUGACGGUGUAGCGGUGAAAUGCUUUGAUAUCGUCAAGAACACCUAUAGCGAAGGCAGCUUACUAGGCUGUAACUGACGCUGAGGCACGAAAGUGUGGGGAUCAAACAGGAUUAGAUACCCUGGUAGUCCACACUGUAAACGUUGAUUACUCGCUGUGUGCGAUAUACAGUACGCGGCCAAGCGAAAGCGAUAAGUAAUCCACCUGGGGAGUACGCCGGCAACGGUGAAACUCAAAGGAAUUGACGGGGGUCCGCACAAGCGGUGGAGCAUGUGGUUUAAUUCGAUGAUACGCGAGGAACCUUACCUGGGCUAGAAUGCUCU